AGGUAGUAGUUAUUUACUAACAAAACCUUUAUAAAAUGGCGGCAUUUAAAUUUAUCAGAGGAACAUGUAUUAUAAUCGAAAACACACGAUACAUUUAACUAUCAAUCAUCUUGUAUACCGCUGUUAACAAACAAGAAAUGAUACAAACAUCAUCUUCAAAAUAGACACAACUAAUAAAUAAGGUAAAGGUGCAGAAAAUUUGAUAAGUAAAUAUGUGUUACCAAUGAAGAACAUUCAAGAAGCGACGUAAAAAUACAUCAUGUAAUAAGGAUUUGAUAGUAUUAUAUAAAGACUAUUUAUUUAAAAAAAAAACAAAAAAUGUGU
rnacentral:rRNA from 1 species